AGUGAUCUGGUUUAUUAAUCCACUUAUGUUGUGUUUACACAUUGACUCAUCCACAGUGCGUUACAGAGCCUGUUUACAUAAGCCCAGACUCAGUUCAGCCCACGCUUAAACAAACACACACAUCUGCCUAGCGAAAUAAAGAGAUGCCACAUUUUUAUUUGUAGACGAAGAGACGUAUGUCAAAAAACGAAUCUUCUUUCUUUUUUAUUUUAUAAGCUUUGCCUGGGGAAUUAAACUGUACAACAUUAGUGAACGGAUUCGUUAGCACAUGACAUGGUCUUAAAGCACACGAUGAACAGAAUCAUCUUUAAAGUUUGGGUAACCUGUGUGUUUGUGUGUGUGUGUUAGGAGCUGUUGUAUCUUUGGGCUGUUGUAUCAACUGAUUUGGGCUGUUUUCACUAGUAAAUGGUGUGUGCUUAUUUCUCUCCUGAUUCAGACAGGACAACUUUUUCCACUAUAGAAAGCAGUAUUAUGGAUAGAGACUGGAAGCAAUAUCUGGAAGCAAUGUUCUGAAGUAAAAAAUGUCUUCAUGAUUGAUUUGUUUAUUAUAAACAUGCAGCUUUUCUCUUCUCAAGAUGUUAACGUAUGGACUGGAGUGAUGUGGAUUAUUGUGAUGUUUGUGUGGACACUCAUUCUGACGGCACCCAUUCACCGCAGAGGAGCCACUGGUGAUCAAGUUAUGCAAUACUACACUUCUCCAAAUCUGUUCUGAUGGAGAAACAAACUCAUCUAUUUUGAGCAUGACACGAGGCAGCUAAAGUGAUGCAGGAUGCCUUAAAUGAGUUCACUGGCUCUCCAGAGGAGCCUGGAGUCAGAGCUGGCACUAAUGUGAGGAGAUAUGGAGCUGAGCAUGCUCAGAAACAUCACGUCUAUAUACAGGCCAAAGAAAAAAUGACAAACAUCUACUUGAACCACAGGAAAGAGAAACGCCUUUAGGUGAGAGAUGUGCAUUCAUCAGGAGCAGCCCGACUCUGUGUCUGCGCAGAAGAUCUGCAGCCAAACACUGCAGCAUCCAGCAUGGCUACGAAUGAGCCGUCAAGUUUUACAAAGAGGCGCUUGUGUACUGUGAAAGUGACAGCAAGCAGAUGUUUCAGAGUCCCCUGCGAACAGCUGCGCAGGUAAAUGUGUGUGUCUGUGUCUCUGAUCAACAAAUCUCACACAAGUGGACCAGUCCAUUUAUUUUCUCUCCAUAGUAAUUGAUUUAAACAGUAACAUAUAAACAUUCAAAACUUUUUUUUAAUUCAGUCAUGUUAAGGUAUUUUUACACUAAAGCUUGCAUCUUCUCCCACAGCUCUUAGUUUUUUUGUUUUUCCUUUUCUUAUAGGUGAACUUCUCUUCUCUGUGUUUGUUAGAUGAUGGCAGAUCUUAUGUUCAGGAUGCAGGACUAUGAACAGGCUGUAUUUCACUUCCAGCAGCUCUUGGAAAGGAAACCAGACAACUACCCGACGCUGUCUCGCCUCAUUGAUCCGCUGUGCAGAGCCGGCAAACUGCAGGAGGUUCCAAGAUUCCUCGAGAUGGCAGAGAAACACUCAUCGAGGGCCAAGUUUGAGCCUGGAUACAACUACUGCAAAGUGCUCUACCUGUGCUAUGAAUGUAAAACAUGGGAAAAUAGAGGGUUUUGCUUUAUGAUGGUAAUAUAAGGUUUCCCAAAUAAGGUUUUGUGAACCCCUGGGGGUCCAUCAGGUAAUGAAAGCUAAUAUACCAAAUCACAUAAUUUUUAUUAUUAUUCUGAAUUAAUUUUGAUUUUAAAGUCAAAAUAAAACACUUCAUAAACAAGUUAAUUUAUUUUUAAUUUUUUUGCAUAUAUUUGUGUCAUGUGACCAUUAACGGACUUCA